rnacentral:rRNA from 1 species
GGGGAAUAUUGCGCAAUGGGCGAAAGCCUGACGCAGCAACGCCGCGUGUGUGAUGAAGGCCUUCGGGUCGUAAAGCUCUGUCGGAGGGAACGAAUGUUUUUGAGGUUAACAGCCUCAGGAAGUGACGGUACCCUCAAAGGAAGCACCGGCUAACUCUGUGCCAGCAGCCGCGGUAAUACAGAGGGUGCUAGCGUUGUUCGGAAUCAUUGGGCGUAAAGGGCGCGUAGGCGGCUUUUCAAGCGUGCGGUGAAAGCUCGGGGCUUAACUCCGAGUCUGCCGUGCGAACUGGGAGGCUUGAGUCUGGUAGAGGUCGAUGGAAUUCCGGGUGUAGCGGUGGAAUGCGUAGAGAUCCGGAAGAACACCGGUGGCGAAGGCGGUCGACUGGGCCAGUACUGACGCUGAGGCGCGACAGCGUGGGGAGCAAA